rnacentral:rRNA from 1 species
GGCAAACGGGUGAGUAACACGUAAGUAAUCUGCCCCUAAGUCUGGAAUAACCUUGCCAACGCGGGGAUAAUACCGGAUGUGAUCACGAGGUCGCAUGGCCAUGUGAUUAAAGAUGACCUCUACCUGUAAGUUAUCGCUUGGGGAUGAGCUUGCGCACCAUUAGCUUGUUGGUGAGGUAACGGCUCACCAAGGCUGCGAUGGUUAGCCGGCCUGAGAGGGUGACCGGCCACAUUGGGACUGANAUACGGCCCAGACUCCUACGGGAGGCAGCAGUAGGGAAUUUUGCGCAAUGGGCGAAAGCCUGACGCANCAACGCCGCGUGAGGGAUGAAGGGUUUCGGCUCGUAAACCUCUGUUGAGUGGG